UACGUAGGGGGCAAGCGUUGUCCGGAUUUAUUGGGCGUAAAGAGCGUGUAGGCGGUUUGGUAGGUCCGUUGUGAAAACUCGAGGCUCAACCUCGAGACGCCGAUGGAAACCAUCAGACUAGAGUCCGGAAGAGGAGAGUGGAAUUCCGUGGUGUAGCGGUGAAAUGCGCAGAUAUCGGGAGGAACACCGAUGGCGAAGGCAGGUCUCUGGGCCACUACUGACGCUGAGAAGCGAAAGCAUGGGGAGCGAACAGG
rnacentral:rRNA from 1 species